GGUGUUAUCUGCAGACUGCAGGACAGUCAGGCGGAUGAGAGGCCCAGGAACAUUUACCAGGGGACACAGCUUGUGGAACACAAAGACAUGGCGGAACCUUGUGGAAAUUGAAUCAACUGAGUUUUCCUGGACAUUCACUUGAGGACUAAAGCUAGAAGUGAAAAACCCUGGUAGUCGGUACAGGUGUUAAAAAUUAAUGAGCAAAAUAUUGAACUCCCGGCCUUGGCAACAGAAGGAUAAACACAGGUGCACUUUGUCAUGGUGACAGAUUCAAUGGUGUUCAUCUCUAACAAGGCGGACAUCAUCGGGAUGAGGGGACAGCAACCAUCAGUUAAAUAAAUAGCUGUGCUGUGGUGGCCUGAAUAGCCAGCUGACCUCAGAGUUGCUUGGGAUGGGUAUUUGGUGGCUUUUGAACUUUGUGGUGUGUGGGGUGCACUGUGAUCCCUAAAGUCGAAGAAGAAAGCCUGCUGCUGCAGAAAUGACCGGGAAUUGCGUCUCAUCCAGCAAGGACGGAGCUAGAUGUGAAACGUUGAAAGUUAGACGGACGCCAGCUGAGUAUAAAGAAACCCUGCAUGCUCAUGA
rnacentral:sRNA from 1 species